UACAGAGACUGCAAGCGUUAUUCGGAUUCACUGGGCGUAAAGGGUGCGCAGGCGGUUGGGUGUGUCAGAUGUGAAAUCCCGAGGCUCAACCUCGGAACUGCGUCUGAAACUACUCGACUAGAGUACUGGAGAGGGUAACGGAAUUCACGGUGUAGCAGUGAAAUGCGUAGAUAUCGUGAGGAACACCGAUGGCGAAGGCAGGUCUCUGGGCUGACACUGACGCUCAUGCACGAAAGCGUGGGGAGCAAACAGG
rnacentral:rRNA from 1 species